CACCUCAGUGGCCCAGUGCCACAUCACAGCAGCAUCUCUGCAGCUUUGGUUCCUGCUUUUCCUCAUUUCUCCUUGGAGCCUGGAGGUUGAAGCUUGGUCCUUGGAACAUCCUUGGCACUGGAAGACGUGUGUGGGAGAUGAAGGGAGCAUGAGAGCAGCCUGACCAUCCAGCCCCUGCAGGCAGCAGCUGUGGGAAAAGGGAUGGCAAAUUUGGAAAUGUGGGAGAACAAAAUCAGUAAGUCUCCAAUCUGUUCGACAAAAUAGGAGAGGAGAACUGGAAACCCUGGGACACUUUGCUCUAUGAAAGACAGAAAGUGGGACACCCCUCAACAAACGUCAGCGGGUGAAGCAGAGCAAAUGAAUGGGUCUUAUUGCUACUCAGAAAUGUACACAUACACCCUUGCCCAUGGAAGAGUGUUCUUUCUACCAUGACAGAGCCCUUUAGAAGUUGCCUGAGAAGAUAAAUACUGAACAGCUUAGGAAGCCCAGUGCUUACGCAGCCCUAGCUGUGACAUCUUCUCCUAGGUUUCCUAAAUCUGCUCCACAGCAUUUCUGUGGAGAAUCCUACCUGGCAGAGGUCUUUGUGCAAGCAAUGAGAUGAAGGCUCCUUGGCCACAAAGCCAAUGUGCAGCUUUGCUGGAACCCAUCCAAGUGCUGAAGUCACCUGGUACUCAUAAAGAAACUUGGAAAGCAAAAAUGUUGGAAGACUGAAAUGAAAUAAAAGAGUCAGAAGGACUUCAUUCCUGCGUCUACGUGAAGGGGCCAGUUCUACAGGGCAUGUUACACAGUCACAGUCGUAAAGAGGAGGUGGGAAAAGCCAUCCUUUAUCACAGCAGCAGCAGCAGCGUGUGGAAGCAAGUCUGGACAUGAAGCAGUCAUAACCAAAAUCCUUUCUCCCAUCUUCCAGCACACAAGUGAAUAUCCCUAUAUUGUAUGUCUUCCAUGAGCUCCUAAUAUUUCAAAUUCUUGUCAGUGCCGUGAACUGUCAGCUAUUUGCGCUUCCAGAUUUGUUUUACAUCCAGAAAUUAAUACCAGCAUUUCCAUGCCCCUCAGGACACAGCAGUGGUAAGUGCUGAUACAAUCAUGCUCAGAGCACAAGUAAUGAUGCAUCCCACUGCCUAGCCAAGCAAAACUUUUCCAUACGAGUGCUGUGAAUUCACAGCUAUUGCUAGCAGUUUUCCAUGGAGAGACUUUGUAACAUAAUCUUACCCAGAAUGGUUUUGAAAGACUGUGAACUCAAUCCUGCCAAAAAUAGUCUGUGCAGCCAAAAAAAAUCAACAGAAGAUCUUUAGCAUUUGAGCUGGCCUCUGAGUUGCGUUUUUCACCUUUUCCAAAGGAUAUGUUUCGUGACAUCCAUGAAACCCUCAUUUGACUUCUAAUACUCCUGAUUAUUCUUAGCGUAGCAGACUGCAUUUUAAUUAUAACUUCAGGGCUCAGCAAGCAAUCAGCUUCACAGGCAUAACAGAACAGACACACCAGCAGUGACUUUCGCCCUAAAAGUGUCUGUGUGCAGGCUGGCAGAUGCAGCCUAAGAAUGUGUUUGUUUGCAUUUGGUUUAUGUGGUUUUGGUGACCUUUUGUUAAAAUCAGCCAGUGACUUCCAGGAGGCAAGUUACACACUCACUGAAAAGAAACACAGUCCAAUAACCCUAGCAUGGGUCCUUCUGAUGAAUGUUACAUUUCUGCUGAAUAUCAUAUCCCUGUGUCCAAGGCAGAGAUAACUGAGCUUAACGUUAAAGUAAUGUUAUCAGUGGACAGGAUGACUGUACAGAUAUUCCCCUCCUUGAUUCUAUUGAAAAUGGCAGGCCAGAAAUGGAUUGCAAGGAAACUGGGGCACAGUGACCUUCUGGGGCUUCCUAUGGGUCCUGUCUCCAUUACAGGCUGUUUUAUAGCAGAGGAGUGCCUGCAUUUUCCUGUCUGUCCUGCCAAGUCUUUGACAAGCCCAUGGAAAUAAAAUAAAAGAGCUGUUUGUCUCCUGCCUGGUGCCUACACCACAUUCUUCAGCCUUGCUGUGCUCAUCCUACCUCCAGAGAGCAGCACCAAUGCCUUGCUGUUACCUCUUUGCACUAUAAAAGACUGUGAGUGAAGCAGUGAUCUCUCAAAGUGAUAAAUCCUUGCUUAUGCUCAGGUGGCUUUGGCAGCAUCUCAGCAUGUAAGCUGUCUGCUAACUUCACCAGAGAAGCCUGACAAAAGUUUGCUUGAUCUCUAGGCAAGCCUUUCAGGAAGCACAUUACCAGAGUGGCUCAGCCUGAGGAAAUACCCUAAGUGCCAGAGGUAACACUGCACCAGUUAUCUUUGAGUGGUACACUAUUAGGAAGUUAACAACCUUAUUAUCUCACAACUUGAAGCAUGGCUUGUUAUUGCUACCA